rnacentral:rRNA from 1 species
AUUGAACGCUGGCGGCAUGCCUUACACAUGCAAGUCGAACGGCAGCGCGGGCUUCGGCCUGGCGGCGAGUGGCGGACGGGUGAGUAAUGCAUCGGAACGUGCCCAGGAGUGGGGGAUAACGUAGCGAAAGUUACGCUAAUACCGCAUACGUACUGAGGUAGAAAGCGGGGGAUCGAAAGACCUCGCGCUCAUGGAGCGGCCGAUGUCGGAUUAGCUAGUUGGUGGGGUAAAAGCUCACCAAGGCGACGAUCCGUAGCUGGUCUGAGAGGACGACCAGCCACCAUGGGACUGAGACACUGCCCAGCCUCCUACGGGAGGCAGCAGUGGGGAAUUUUGGACAAUGGAGGCAACCCUGAUCCAGCAAUGCCGCGUGAGUGAAGAAGGCCUUCGGGUUGUAAAGCUCUUUUGUCAGGGAAGAAACAGCAGCUCUAACACAGUCUGCGAAUGACGGUACCUGAAGAAUAAGCACCGGCUAACUACGUGCCAGCCACCGCCGUAA